CAGUAAUUAUAUGUUGAUCGCAUAAGCAGGCUGAUGGUGUCUUGGUCGAAUUUUUUUAUUCCUUCUCUAUGGAACUAAAACUGUUCUUUCCUGAAUAUAUUGGAUCGCAAAGAACUAAACCUAUGUACAAUGUCUUUGGGCAUAUUCUGAAUUUGCAGAAUUAGCACAAAUCUGAAAGCAUAUAUGCAGCUCCCAGAUGUUGCAGGCUAGAGGAAGGGCAGGCACUCAUGCAAUACCAUGUAUCUGGUAGUGGUUUCGUUCCCCAGACGCUAUGCAUUUAUUGUCUGGUUUGUUCAUCUCUGUUAGCUCUAUGUUAACCUUCUUUUAGUUACUUCCCAUGAUUUUCUUUGUAAGAAACCCCAGAAAUAUAUAUAGGCGUAUUUUCCCGUGAAGAUGCUAAAUUUUGUUGGUCUUAUUUAUGGGAUAGCGAAACCAUUUUUGUGUGCACUUAAUUUUCAGGUUGGACGCGCCGGGUGUGGGGACACUGCAGGACAUGUUUGAUUAUCAUGUCAGUGAAUUCUGGCGAGAAUGAACCAAGUGAGCUUUUGUAGCUGGUCUAUUCAAAAUGGAUGAACGGACCAGUUAGUGUACAUAUAAGUUUGCACUCUGUCUUCCUGCUCAUUCGUGCAAUGUGUUCAUGGGAGACUUAUUUUAGGAAAACAUAAAAUAAUCUUUCUUUCUGUGCGUACUACUCUAGCUUUCAAGUGCCAGGCUUCAAUAAAUCUGAAAUUUCUAUCGCUCGAUUUGCAGUGUUUAUUUUACGGUUACCACUGGGAAAUGCUUCCUUUUAAUCAUUUUUAUCUGGUACACACCAUUGUAAGUGUAUUAUUUAAGAAAUC
rnacentral:lncRNA from 1 species